UGGGGAAUCUUGGACAAUGGGGGCAACCCUGAUCCAGCGACGCCGCGUGGGUGACGAAGGCCUUCGGGUUGUAAAGCCCUUUUGCCGGGGACGAUGAUGACGGUACCCGGAGAAGAAGCACCGGCUAACUCCGUGCCAGCAGCCGCGGUAAGACGGAGGGUGCUAGCGUUGUUCGGAAUUACUGGGCGUAAAGGGCGCGUAGGCGGCUGCUCAAGUCGGGUGUGAAAGCCCGGGGCUCAACCCCGGAACGGCACCCGAGACUGGGCGGCUCGAGACCGGGAGAGGUGGGUGGAAUACCCAGUGUAGAGGUGAAAUUCGUAGAUAUUGGGUGGAACACCGGUGGCGAAAGCGGCUCACUGGCCCGGUUCUGACGCUGAGGCGCGAAAGCGUGGGGAGCAAACAG
rnacentral:rRNA from 1 species